rnacentral:rRNA from 2 species
UCCGACCUGAACUCAGACGUGAUU